GUGACCCGGCGGUGACCUCUAGACGAAGGUCGCGGUCGCCGGAUGGAGGUCUCGGGGAGGAACGACGGAGAGAUCGCGGGGACGGCGGAGGUCGGUCGGACGAUCGCAGGAUCGGGGUGGGCAGGGACGUGGAGAGGAGACGGCGAGAGGAAGGGCGUGAUAGACAUGGGAGGGAUAGGAGAACAGAGGGUAGAUCCGUCAGAGAGAGAGAAGAGA